GUGGGGAAUAUUGGACAAUGGGCGAAAGCCUGAUCCAGCCAUGCCGCGUGUGUGAAGAAGGUCUUCGGAUUGUAAAGCACUUUAAGUUGGGAGGAAGGGCAGUAAGUUAAUACCUUGCUGUUUUGACGUUACCGACAGAAUAAGCACCGGCUAACUUCGUGCCAGCAGCCGCGGUAAUACGAAGGGUGCAAGCGUUAAUCGGACUUACUGGGCGUAAAGCGCGCGUAGGUGGGUUUGUAUGUUGGAGGUGAAAUCCCCGGGCUCAACCUGGGAACUGCCUCCAAAACUGCAUGACUAGAGUACGGUAGAGGGUAGUGGAAUUUCCUGUGUAGCGGUGAAAUGAGUAGAUAUAGGAAGGAACACCAGUGGCGAAGGCGACUACCUGGACUGAUACUGACACUGAGGUGCGAAAGCGUGGGGAGCAAACAGGAUUAGAAACCCGAGUAGUCC
rnacentral:rRNA from 1 species